GAUGAACGCUAGCUACAGGCUUAACACAUGCAAGUCGAGGGGAAACGGCAUCGAAAGCUUGCUUUUGAUGGGCGUCGACCGGCGCACGGGUGAGUAGCGCGUAUCCAACCUGCCCAUCACUUGGGAAUAACCUUGCGAAAGUAAGACUAAUGCCCAAUGACAUCCCACGAAGGCAUCCGAAUGGGAUUAAAGAUUUAUCGGUGAUGGAUGGGGAUGCGUCUGAUUAGCUUGUUGGCGGGGUGACGGCCCACCAAGGCAACGAUCAGUAGGGGUUCUGAGAGGAAGGUCCCCCACAUUGGAACUGAGACACGGUCCAAACUCCUACGGGAGGCAGCAGUGAGGAAUAUUGGUCAAUGGGCGAGAGCCUGAACCAGCCAAGUAGCGUGCAGGAUGACGGCCCUAUGGGUUGUAAACUGCUUUUAUAAGGGAAUAAAGUGGGUCACGUGUGACUUUUUGCAUGUACCUUAUGAAUAAGGACCGGCUAAUUCCGUG
rnacentral:rRNA from 1 species